UACGUAGGGUGCAAGCGUUGUCCGGAAUUAUUGGGCGUAAAGAGCUCGUAGGCGGUUUGUUGCGUCGGCUGUGAAAUCCCGAGGCUCAACCUCGGGUCUGCAGUCGAUACGAGCAAACUAGAGUGUUGCAGGGGAGACUGGAAUUCCUGGUGUAGCGGUGAAAUGCGCAGAUAUCAGGAGGAACACCGGUGGCGAAGGCGGCUUGCUGGGCCAGUUCUGACGCUGGAGGAGCGAAAGCGUGGGGGAGCGAACAGG
rnacentral:rRNA from 1 species